rnacentral:rRNA from 1 species
UACGUAGGGGGCAAGCGUUGUCCGGAAUCAUUGGGCGUAAAGCGCGUGUAGGCGGCCCGGUAAGUCCGCUGUGAAAGUCGGGGGCUCAACCCUCGAAUGCCGGUGGAUACUGUCGGGCUAGAGUGCGGAAGAGGAGAGUGGAAUUCCUGGUGUAGCGGUGAAAUGCGUAGAUAUCAGGAGGAACACCGGUGGUGUAGACGGCUUUCUGGACCGUAACUGACGCUGAGACACGAAAGCGUGGGUAGCAAACAGG